GGUUCCCAAGCUCAGGAGGAAGUAGCGCCCGACUGAAGAUCGGGAGGAUGCCGGUUCGACGCCGGCGGGGACCA
rnacentral:tRNA from 1 species